rnacentral:rRNA from 1 species
AGGGGAGUGGCAGACGGKUGAGUAACGCGUGGGAACAUACCCUUUCCUGCGGAAUAGCUCCGGGAAACUGGAAUUAAUACCGCAUACGCCCUACGGGGGAAAGAUUUAUCGGGGAAGGAUUGGCCCGCGUUGGAUUAGCUAGUUGGUGGGGUAAAGGCCUACCAAGGCGACGAUCCAUAGCUGGUCUGAGAGGAUGAUCAGCCACAUUGGGACUGAGACACGGCCCAAACUCCUACGGGAGGCAGCAGUGGGGAAUAUUGGACAAUGGGCGCAAGCCUGAUCCAGCCAUGCCGCGUGAGUGAUGAAGGCCUUAGGGUUGUAAAGCUCUUUCACCGGAGAAGAUAAUGACGGUAUCCGGAGAAGAAGCCCCGGCUAACUUCGUGCCAGCAGCCGCGGUAAUACGAAGGGGGCUAGCGUUGUUCGGAAUUACUGGGCGUAAAGCGCACGUAGGCGGAUAUUUAAGUCAGGGGUGAAAUCCCAGAGCUCAACUCUGGAACUGCCUUUGAUACUGGGUAUCUUGAGUAUGGAAGAGGUAAGUGGAAUUCCGAGUGUAGAGGUGAAAUUCRUAGAUAUUCGGAGGAACACCAGUGGMGAAGGCGGCU